rnacentral:ncRNA from 2 species
AGAUAAGAUAGAGGCGCGGUAUAUUAAGAAUAUGUAUCUGGAGUUGCCAGCGAUGAAAGAUGCAAAAAGGAAUAUCCGCCGAAGUAGAAGGGUUUGGCAAGACCCGUUUAUUGGUUUUGUAUUGAAUAAGUGCAAGACUGUCAUCCAAGUUGGAUGGAGUGCUAUCUGCAUU